UACGUAGGGUGCAAGCGUUAAUCGGAAUUACUGGGCGUAAAGCGUGCGCAGGCGGUUGUGCAAGACAGAUGUGAAAUCCCCGGGCUCAACCUGGGAAUUGCAUUUGUGACUGCACGGCUAGAGUGUGUCAGAGGGGGGUAGAAUUCCACGUGUAGCAGUGAAAUGCGUAGAGAUGUGGAGGAAUACCGAUGGCGAAGGCAACCCCCUGGGAUAACACUGACGCUCAUGCACGAAAGCGUGGGGAGCAAACAGG
rnacentral:rRNA from 1 species